CGUAAAGCGCGCGCAGGCGGGUCAGUAAGUCAGGUGUGAAAUCUCGGAGCUCAACUCCGAAACUGCGCCUGAAACUAUUGGUCUAGAGUAUCGGAGGGGACAGGGGAAUUUCACGUGUAGGGGUAAAAUCCGUAGAGAUGUGAAGGAACAUCGGAGGCGAAGGCGCCUGUCUGGACGAUUACUGACGCUGAGGCGCGAAAGCGUGGGGAGCAAACAGGAUUAGAUACCCUGGUAGUCCACGCCGUAAACGAUGAGCACUAGUUAUUGGAGGUAUUGACUCCUCCAGUGACGUAGCUAACGCAUUAAGUGCUCCGCCUGGGGAGUACGGUCGCAAGACUAAAACUCAAACAAAUUGACGGGGGCCCGCACAAGCGGUGGAUUAUGUGGUUUAAUUCGAAGCAACGCGCAGAACCUUACCUAGGCUUGAACUCCUACGAACCUGUUGUAAUGGACGGGGUGCCCGCAAGGGAAUGUAGUGAGAGGUGCUGCAUGGCUGUCGUCAGCUCGUGUUGUGAAAUGUUGGGUUAAGUCUCGCAACGAGCGCAACCCCUAUCGUCUGUUGCCAGCAUUAAGUUGGGCACUCU
rnacentral:rRNA from 1 species